rnacentral:rRNA from 1 species
UACGUAGGUGGCAAGCGUUGUCCGGAAUCAUUGGGCGUAAAGAGCGCGUAGGCGGCCCUGUAAGUCCGCUGUGAAAGUCAAGGGCUCAACCCUUGAAUGCCGGUGGAUACUGCAGGGCUAGAGUCCGGAAGAGGCGAGUGGAAUUCCUGGUGUAGCGGUGAAAUGCGCAGAUAUCAGGAGGAACACCGAUGGCGAAGGCAGCUCGCUGGGACGGUACUGACGCUGAGGCGCGAAAGCGUGGGGAGCGAACAGG